CUCAUAUUACAGGUUCUCCUAAUUGUUUAAGCGCCCCUGACAACAGAACUAUUUGGUUUUCCCAUCCGUGUUUACACUGUCAUCUUGGUCUCUGUGAGUGGAUUUUUUAUCUGGCUUCUUGGACACCACUUACUAGUAAACCACAGCUAAGAAAUAUUUUUAAAGCAUGGCUGGGAGGCCGAGGCCCCUGGUUGAGUAUAAACGCACACACACACGGCUUCUAUUUCCCCCUUCCCUGGUGGAGAAAAAAUCUCUUAAAUGAUACGGCAUGAAAACAAAUUUUUAAAAUUAUUCAUGAUUUCCCCCAGCUCUGCAGACAGGUUGGUGAGCAAACUUCAGCCAGCUUGGAAGCUGGGCAACUUUCCAUGCCCAGUUACACAAUAUCACCUCCCCGUUUGCCUGGGUCCCAGUGCCCUCCAAAGAGGCAUGAGAACCUGUCUUUAUUUUUCUUUUUCUGUUGUCUCAACGGCUGGUUUUCUGCAUUUGUCUCCUCUUGCAUCGAAGAGCUUGGUCUGCCUGUUCGCAGCUCUUGCAACACUGCAUUUAAAGUGAUUUAUGUUGCCCAAUUGACAAUCUCCUUUAAAAUCGGCUUUCACCCAGCAAUAAUAGCUGGUUAUAGUUCAUGUUUUUGCAGAGAGGUUGUUUCUGACUCAUCGUGUCCAACGCUGUCCCAUACACAGCUGAAUAAAGUUCUGGUGCUAGGAGAGAAAAAUGAGGAAAACACCUCUCCAGCGCUCUCAUGAUGGCUCCUCUCCUAGAGAAAGGUAAAUGACGGUCACGUUCCAGUUCUUCGAUUUCAGGACCAUCUCGAUGGCGACCAGGGUCUCCCCAAAGUCUUCAGA
rnacentral:lncRNA from 1 species